rnacentral:rRNA from 1 species
UCCUCUGGAUUGUAAACUUCUUUUAUAUGGGACGAAAAAAGGUCUUUCUAGAUCACUUGACGGUACCAUAUGAAUAAGCACCGGCUAACUCCGUGCCAGCAGCCGCGGUAAUACGGAGGGUGCAAGCGUUAUCCGGAUUCACUGGGUUUAAAGGGUGCGUAGGCGGGCAGGUAAGUCAGUGGUGAAAUCCUGGAGCUCAACUCCAGAACUGCCAUUGAUACUAUCUGUCUUGAAUAUUGUGGAGGUAAGCGGAAUAUGUCAUGUAGCGGUGAAAUGCUUAGAUAUGACAUAGAACACCUAUUGCGAAGGCAGCUUACUACGCAUAUAUUGACGC